GGUUUUAUAAGUAAAUUUCUCCCUGCUGCUGCAGCAACUAUCGGUGCUGCUGGAACAAUAAUGCAGAUUAAAGAUAGAGCAGGUGG
rnacentral:tRNA from 1 species